rnacentral:rRNA from 1 species
GAUGAACGCUAGCUACAGGCUUAACACAUGCAAGUCGAGGGACCGGCGCACGGGUGAGUAACACGUAUCCCACCUGCCCUUUACUCGGGGAUAGCCUUUCGAACGAAAGAUUAAUACCCGAUGUAAAGGAUGGGGAUGCGUUCCAUUAGGUUGUUGGUGAGGUAACGGCUAACCAAGCCUUCGAUGGAUAGGGGUUCGGAGAGGAAGGUCCCACACAUUGGAAAUGAGACACGGUCCAAACUCCGACGGGAGGAAGCAGUGAGGAAUAUUGGGCAAUGGGCGUUAGCCUGAACCAGCCAAGUAGCGUGAAGGAUGAAGGCUUAUGGGUCGUAAACUUCUUUUAUAUAAGAAUAUGUAUUAUAUGAAUAAGGAUCGGCUAACUCCGUGCCAGCAGCCGCGGUAAUAC